rnacentral:rRNA from 6 species
GGGUUGUGAGGUUAAGCGACUAAGCGUACACGGUGGAUGCCCUGGCAGUCAGAGGCGAUGAAGGACGUGCUAAUCUGCGAUAAGCGCCGGUAAGGUGAUAUGAACCGUUAUAACCGGCGAUUUCCGAAUGGGGAAACCCAGUGUGAUUCGUCACACUAUCAUUAACUGAAUCCAUAGGUUAAUGAGGCGAACCGGGGGAACUGAAACAUCUAAGUACCCCGAGGAAAAGAAAUCAACCGAGAUUCCCCCAGUAGCGGCGAGCGAACGGGGAGGAGCCCAGAGCCUGAAUCAGCAUGUGUGUUAGUGGAAGCGUCUGGAAAGGCGCGCGAUACAGGGUGACAGCCCCGUACACAAAAGCGCAUGUGCUGUGAGCUCGAUGAGUAGGGCGGGACACGUGGUAUCCUGUCUGAAUAUGGGGGGACCAUCCUCCAAGGCUAAAUACUCCUGACUGACCGAUAGUGAACCAGUACCGUGAGGGAAAGGCGAAAAGAACCCCGGCGAGGGGAGUGAAAAAGAACCUGAAACCGUGUACGUACAAGCAGUGGGAGCACAGGUUUACCUGUGUGACUGCGUACCUUUUGUAUAAUGGGUCAGCGACUUAUAUUCUGUAGCAAGGUUAACCGUAUAGGGGAGCCGUAGGGAAACCGAGUCUUAACCGGGCGUUAAGUUGCAGGGUAUAGACCCGAAACCCGGUGAUCUAGCCAUGGGCAGGUUGAAGGUUGGGUAACACUAACUGGAGGACCGAACCGACUAAUGUUGAAAAAUUAGCGGAUGACCUGUGGCUGGGGGUGAAAGGCCAAUCAAACCGGGAGAUAGCUGGUUCUCCCCGAAAGCUAUUUAGGUAGCGCCUCGUGAAUUCAUCUCCGGGGGUAGAGCACUGUUUCGGCUAGGGGGCCAUCCCGGCUUACCAACCCGAUGCAAACUGCGAAUACCGGAGAAUGUUAUCACGGGAGACACACGGCGGGUGCUAACGUCCGUCGUGAAGAGGGAAACAACCCAGACCGCCAGCUAAGGUCCCAAAGUCAUGGUUAAGUGGGAAACGAUGUGGGAAGGCCCAGACAGCCAGGAUGUUGGCUUAGAAGCAGCCAUCAUUUAAAGAAAGCGUAAUAGCUCACUGGUCGAGUCGGCCUGCGCGGAAGAUGUAACGGGGCUAAACCAUGCACCGAAGCUGCGGCAGCGACGCUUAUGCGUUGUUGGGUAGGGGAGCGUUCUGUAAGCCUGCGAAGGUGGCCUGUGAGGGUUGCUGGAGGUAUCAGAAGUGCGAAUGCUGACAUAAGUAACGAUAAAGCGGGUGAAAAGCCCGCUCGCCGGAAGACCAAGGGUUCCUGUCCAACGUUAAUCGGGGCAGGGUGAGUCGACCCCUAAGGCGAGGCCGAAAGGCGUAGUCGAUGGGAAACGGGUUAAUAUUCCCGUACUUGGUGUUACUGCGAAGGGGGGACGGAGAAGGCUAUGUUGGCCGGGCGACGGUUGUCCCGGUUUAAGCGUGUAGGUGUGUGUUCCAGGUAAAUCCGGUUCACUUUAACACUGAGGCGUGACGACGAGGCACUACGGUGCUGAAGCAACAAAUGCCCUGCUUCCAGGAAAAGCCUCUAAGCAUCAGGUAACAUCAAAUCGUACCCCAAACCGACACAGGUGGUCAGGUAGAGAAUACCAAGGCGCUUGAGAGAACUCGGGUGAAGGAACUAGGCAAAAUGGUGCCGUAACUUCGGGAGAAGGCACGCUGACACGUAGGUGAAGUGAUUUACUCAUGGAGCUGAAGUCAGUCGAAGAUACCAGCUGGCUGCAACUGUUUAUUAAAAACACAGCACUGUGCAAACACGAAAGUGGACGUAUACGGUGUGACGCCUGCCCGGUGCCGGAAGGUUAAUUGAUGGGGUCAGCGCAAGCGAAGCUCCUGAUCGAAGCCCCGGUAAACGGCGGCCGUAACUAUAACGGUCCUAAGGUAGCGAAAUUCCUUGUCGGGUAAGUUCCGACCUGCACGAAUGGCGUAAUGAUGGCCAGGCUGUCUCCACCCGAGACUCAGUGAAAUUGAACUCGCUGUGAAGAUGCAGUGUACCCGCGGCAAGACGGAAAGACCCCGUGAACCUUUACUAUAGCUUGACACUGAACAUUGAGCCUUGAUGUGUAGGAUAGGUGGGAGGCUUUGAAGCGUGGACGCCAGUCUGCGUGGAGCCGACCUUGAAAUACCACCCUUUAAUGUUUGAUGUUCUAACGUGGACCCGUAAUCCGGGUUGCGGACAGUGUCUGGUGGGUAGUUUGACUGGGGCGGUCUCCUCCUAAAGAGUAACGGAGGAGCACGAAGGUUGGCUAAUCCUGGUCGGACAUCAGGAGGUUAGUGCAAUGGCAUAAGCCAGCUUGACUGCGAGCGUGACGGCGCGAGCAGGUGCGAAAGCAGGUCAUAGUGAUCCGGUGGUUCUGAAUGGAAGGGCCAUCGCUCAACGGAUAAAAGGUACUCCGGGGAUAACAGGCUGAUACCGCCCAAGAGUUCAUAUCGACGGCGGUGUUUGGCACCUCGAUGUCGGCUCAUCACAUCCUGGGGCUGAAGUAGGUCCCAAGGGUAUGGCUGUUCGCCAUUUAAAGUGGUACGCGAGCUGGGUUUAGAACGUCGUGAGACAGUUCGGUCCCUAUCUGCCGUGGGCGCUGGAGAACUGAGGGGGGCUGCUCCUAGUACGAGAGGACCGGAGUGGACGCAUCACUGGUGUUCGGGUUGUCAUGCCAAUGGCACUGCCCGGUAGCUAAAUGCGGAAGAGAUAAGUGCUGAAAGCAUCUAAGCACGAAACUUGCCCCGAGAUGAGUUCUCCCUGAGACUUAGAGUCUCCUGAAGGAACGUUGAAGACGACGACGUUGAUAGGCCGGGUGUGUAAGCGCAGCGAUGCGUUGAGCUAACCGGUACUAAUGAACCGUGAGGCUUAACCUUACAACGCCGAAG